CCCUGGUUACCUCAAUUGGUAGAGCGCUCCACUGGAAAUGGAGAAAGUCCCGCGUUCGAUACCCGGACCAGGCU
rnacentral:tRNA from 1 species